UUGCACAUGGUCAUCGACCGUCGGAUCCGUCAGAAAAGCUACAUGAACCAAGAUCCUAUUUUUUUCUAUUUGGUCGAGCCUUUUUUCUCCUCUUUUCAAGCAUCGGCACUGCCGCCUGUAAUGCCACACCCCUAGAUCUUUAUCCCUAACCUAUCAACUACUUGCCUUAGAGGUUUUGAUCAUCGAUGAUUGAUCAUUGAUCGAAAAAAUAUGAAAAGGGGUGAAUCCUCUAUUUUCUGAAAUUCUUCACUUGAUUUUCUUAUCAUUCAACCCCC
rnacentral:lncRNA from 1 species